AAGCUUUAUGUGUGUGUGUGUAUUUAUGUAAAUGUGUCUGACUGUUCCGGUGUAUGUGUCAAUAUCUGUGUGUCUGUGCUCACAUGUAUUUGAAUGAAGUUAGUCUACCUGUCUAUUCUUUAAGAAAGAAUACAUUUUGGACACAGGGUUUUGAGGAGUCAGCUGGAACUGACUUGAAAACCUCCCCUCUGACUAGUUCUUUUGUUUGGUGGGUUGGUUGGUUUCUGGAUUUUCAAGACAAGGUUUCACUAUAUAGCACAGGUUGUCCUGGAACUUUUCUGUAGACUAGGCUGGCCUUGAAUUCAGAGAUCUGCCUCCUCUGCCUCCUGGGUGCUUGGUUUAAAUAUUUCUACCACCAAUCCUAUCUGGUGGGACCCAAAAAGACUACCAGCCUUGAAGUAUCCCCUGUCCACUCUCAGCCCUAUCUUCUAGUCCAUACCUCUAUCCACAAUCCUAGGCAUCUGCCAUCAUUAGCAAAUGCCACCUGAGAAAACCAUUCCAAUUCCUUGCCUGAUAUCCCCUUUGGUCAAACCUAAACUCAGCAGUUUAAACUCUGUCCCGCUGUCUCUGCACUCAAUUUCUUGGGUCACAGCUCCACAAAAUUGAAAAAUCUAUAUGAGAUGGAUGAUUUUCUAGAUGGAUACCACUUGCCAAAGUUAAAACAAGAUUAAAUAAACUAUGUAAAUAGACCUAUAUAACCCCUAAGGAAAUAGAAGCAGCCAUUGAAAGUCUCCCAAAACCCCUCCUCCCUCUCCCUAAAAUUGCUUAGGGACAGAUAGUUUUACCACAUAAUUUCACCAGACUUUCAGAGGAGAGCUAAUACCAAUACUCCUCAAACUAUUCCACAAAAUAGAAACAGAAAGAACACUGUCAAACUCAUACUGAGCUACCGUUAUCUAAACUACACAAAGACUCAACAACAACAAUAACAACAAAAUUUCAGAUCAUUUUCUCUCAUCAAUAUUGAUACAAAAAUAGUCAGUGAAAACCAAAUUCAAGAACACACCAAUAACAUCAUUCUCAUGAUCAAGGGGGCUUCAUCCCAGGGAUGGAGGAGUGGUCCAACAUAUUAAAAUCCAUCAACCUAACAGACAAUAUAAAUAAACUGAAUGAAAGAACUACAUAAUCAUAGGAUUCUGAAACUACUUUGGACAAAAUCCAACAACCUUUCAUGUUAAAACUCUUAGAGAGAUCGGGAUACAAGACACAUAUUUAAACACUAAAAAGGCAAUACACAGGAAGCUGAUACCCAACAUCAGAUUAAAUGUAAGUAACUUAAAGCAAUUUCAGUAAAAUUAGGGACAAGUCUGCUCAUUCUCUUCCUUUCUCUUCAACAUAAUACUUGAAGCCUUUGCUAGAGCAACAAGACAAUUACAGGAGAUCAAGCUGAUACAAAUUGGAAAGGAAGAUGUUAAAGUAUUGCUAUUUGCAGAUGAUGUAAUAGUAUACAUAAGUGACCCACAAAAUUCUACCAGAGAUCUACAGCUGAUAAAUACCUUCAGUAAGGUGGCUGGGUGCAAAUUUAAUUAAAAAAAAUAAAAAAUUCAGAAUCCCUUCAUUAUACAAACAAUAAGUGAGCUGAAAGAGAAAUUAGGUAGAUAAUACCAUUCACAAUAGCUACAAAUAAUAUUACAUAUCUUGGUGUAAUUCUAACCAAGCAAUUGAAAGACCCAUAUGACAAGAACUUCAAAUCUCUGAAAUUCUCAAAAACUGAAGAAAUUAAAUAAAAAUUCUAUAAUCUUUUGCUUCUUUAAGGGCAGAUUUUUCUGAAACUUUAACACAUACACAGAAGUCUCUGCUAUCUCAGGGUGUAAAAGUAACUUUUAUUCCCCUAAUGUAAUUGUCAUCUCAGAGGCUUAUUGCUGAAUAAGCUCACCCUUUCCAGCUCUUUCUCAAUCUGCCUGGGUGGUUCAACCCAGCUUGUUUUGGCUCAAACUCCUUCCUAAGCUGACUGAUUCAGUCUGGUUUCUCUCAGCUUCUCACUGAAUUGCUCUACUUGGCUGCAAACUAUCUCUAUCAAUCUGUUGUAAUCUUCUGGCUCCUUCUUAUUAUUCUCUGACUUCAACUGCCUCUACUGCACAAACUGAAUGGAACCGAACUCAACUCCACUGCACUGCUUCCUGUGCUCACUGAACUGAAUUCCACUUCACCUUCAAUUCUCAUUGCCUCCUUCUACAAUCUAGCCUUGCUUACAUUUCUUGGGAUUAAAGGUGCAUACUAAGGGCGAGUUUGUAGUGCAGCCAGAUGGAUUAAACAUAUGUGGCAUGUCAUUCCAGCUGUGUCACAUAGACCUACCUAGAAGGUAUUUGGAUGUGAUCAGUGUCUAUACAGUUCUGCGUCAGGUCCUGUUCACAUAUAUUAUAACUAUUAACUUAGUAUUUUUAUGGGACUCCAGACUGGGAGAGAGUGGAUCUCUGAAUCUUGUGCUUGCAUUUGGAUCACUUAUCCUUCUGUUACAUUGCCAUGUUUAACUUCGAUAUGAUGGUUUUUCCUCCAUAUUAGUAUAUUUUAUUUUGUCUUGCUUGGUUACUAUAUGUUAGAAGACUGUUCUUGAAGAGGAGGUAGGGGGGAACCGGGAGGAGUAGAGGGAAAGGGGACUAUAAUCAGAAUAUAUGCGAAAAGAAAAGAAUGAGAAAGUUAUCUAUUUUCAAAAAUGAUGUCUCAGGUAUCAAAGCAAAACCUGAUUGCUUAUGACUUCACAAGGAAUUCUCUCCUAUCUCUCACUUAGAAUACACAGGCUACAUACACCAACACAUAUGGUUGUUGAGGGAAACCUACAUCCAUGCCAGCUAACAAGCUACUCUAUAUUUGCCUUUAGCUCUAUGUAUCUGCACUCAAGGCUUCACUUUCAAAUUUCUAAAUUUCCAAGGUACAAACUAGCAAUUAUCUGCUUAAUUUCUUUUAUCACUAGUUACCACCACAACCCAUAUUUUAUUUUAUUUUUACAUAAUAUUUUUAUUGAUUAUUUAGGAAUUUCAUAUCAUGAUUUCUGGGCACACUCACUUUCUUGUCCUCCCAGGUCUGCCCCUACACCCUUGUGACCGCCACACUGGAAAAACAAAAACAAAACAAA
rnacentral:lncRNA from 1 species